AGUCAUACGCUCGUCUCAAAGAUUAAGCCAUGCAUGUGUAAGUAUAAAUAGUUAACUUUGAAACUGCGAAUGGCUCAUUAUAUCAGUUAUAGUUUAUUUGAUGAAGAAUACUAAUUGGAUAACCGUAGUAAUUCUAGAGCUAAUACAUGUAUAAAGUCUUGUAGACUGCAUUUAUUAGAAUGAAAACCAUAGGUUUCGGCCUAUUCGUGAGUAAUAAUAACUAAUCAUAUCGUAUGCUUAUGUAACGAUGUGUCUUUCAAGUUUCUGCCCUAUCAGCUUUCGAUGGUAGUGUAUUGGACUACCAUGGCAGUAACGGGUAACGAAGAAUUUGGGUUCGAUUUCGGAGAGGGAGCCUGAGAGAUGGCUACCACAUCCAAGGAAGGCAGCAGGCGGGUAAAUUACCCAAUCCUGACACAGGGAGGUAGUGACAAUAAAUCACAAUGCGGAACAAUGUUUUGCAAUUGGAUUGAGAACAACGUACAAACCUUAUCGAUAAACAAUUGGAGGGCAAGUCUGGUCCCAGCAGCCGCGGUAAUUCCAGCUCCAAUAGCGUAUAUUUA
rnacentral:rRNA from 1 species